rnacentral:rRNA from 1 species
GACGAACGCUGGCGGCGUGCUUAACACAUGCAAGUCGAACGGAAAGGCCCCUUUGGGGGUACUCGAGUGGCGAACGGGUGAGUAACACGUGAGUAACCUGCCCUUGACUUCGGGAUAACUUCAGGAAACUGGGGCUAAUACCGGAUAGGAAUCCUUGCUGCAUGGUGGGGGUUGGAAAGCUUCGGCGGUUUUGGAUGGACUCGCGGCUUAUCAGCUUGUUGGUGGGGUAGUGGCUUACCAAGGCUUUGACGGGUAGCCGGCCUGAGAGGGCGACCGGCCACAUUGGGACUGAGAUACGGCCCAGACUCCUACGGGAGGCAGCAGUGGGGAAUAUUGCACAAUGGGCGGAAGCCUGAUGCAGCAACGCCGCGUGCGGGAUGGCGGCCUUCGGGUUGUAAACCGCUUUCAGCAGGGGCGAAGCUUGUGGUGACGGUACCUGCAGAAGAAGCACCGGCUAACUACGUG